AUUGUUGCGAUAUAGCAUAUGAUUUGUCAUUUGAACGACAUAAAAACUCAAUGUUGACGAUUUCGAAUGGCAAUCAUCCAAAAAAUGGUGGAUUCAAGAUCGAAUGACUUCAUGUCUGUAUUGGAAUGAACAGUCUGUGAUAUUCGAAGGAUAGACAUAACGCCAUAUGAAUUAUUUGCACCCAAAAAAUGUUUGGGCUGGCUCGAAUGACAGUCAUUUGAAGCGCUUCAUGCGUUUGCGAGAUAAGUUUUUCAUUAUUUCUGUGCAGUCGCAAAAAGUCAGUUCGCGACAUCAAAACGUGAAAAAACUGCUGCUUGUCAUCUUCAAGACUAACGUCCCCUAGAAAAAUUGCUUUGGAGCUGAUUUCCUGGUAUUGGGAGAGAAACUAGCGUCCGGAUCAAAGGAUUUAUUUGCAUAUUUUGGAGCAAUGCCACUGACAUGGUGUCUUUCAAUAUACAGGGAAUAGCCGUUAUUUAGUGCAAAUAACUGGUCAAAGCCAUAGUAUGCAAGGCAAAGAGGGAGUACUGGAAAGGGAGUGAAAUAUACAAUAGGAUGGAUGCCAAAUAGCUGUCAAUUGAUGACUAUGUUGAUCGGAACUAUUAUUCUGGUGAAAUGGUGGCACUAACGAUUCAAUAUCGUACGGGAAUCACAGCCCUAGGAACCACGAGUCCCGAGAGAUUGUAGUUACAGGUAUUCCUAUCCCAAGGUUUGGAAAAUUUCCACGCGACCGGCACUAGGUGAUGGCCAAAUCUACUGGUUUCACAUAGCCGUCUUAGUCCCUGAAUCAGAUUCGAGAGCUAGACGGAUCGCAUGAUAUGCAACAUGAGGAGCCAAUGUUCGAUCUGCUUUGGUUCUAUCCCGAUGACCAUGGCGGCUGAACUACAUUGCCCCACAAUGCUGAUUACCUUUGGAAAUGUACAAUCAAUUAAACAAUCUGACGCAGAAAACACCAGCACCGCACAAACGUAAGAGAUUCUGUGAUGGACCAACGUUGCCGCAAGAGAACACUGGUAGCAAUAGGUUUGUUCCAGUACCAGGAGAAACUGGAAGUACUCCGGAGAAAACAGGGAGAAAA